rnacentral:rRNA from 1 species
UACGUAGGGGGGCAAGCGUUUGUCCGGAAUCAUUGGGCGUAAAGAGCGUGUAGGCGGCUCGGUAAGUCCGCUGUGAAAGUCCAGGGCUCAACCCUGGAAUGCCGGUGGAAACUGUCGAGCUAGAGUCCGGAAGAGGCGAGUGGAAUUCCUGGUGUAGCGGUGAAAUGCGCAGAUAUCGGGAAGAACACCCCGUGGCGAAGGCGGCUCUCUGGGACGGUACUGGACGCUGAGACGCGAAAGCGUGGGGAGCAAACAGG